rnacentral:rRNA from 1 species
CCCUUAGAUGUUCUGGGCCGCACGCGCGCUACACUGACUACUUCAACGAGUUGUUUCCUUGAUCGAAAGGUCUGGGUAAUCUUUGAAAGGUAGUCGUGAUGGGGAUAGAUCCUUGCAAUUUUUGAUCUUCAACGAGGAAUUCCUAGUAAACGCAAGUCAUCAGCUUGCAUUGAUUACGUCCCUGCCCUUUGUACACACCGCCCGUCGCACCUACCGAGUGAAUGGUCCGGUGAAUCUUUAGGACUGUGGCUGAGGCCUUGCCUUGUGCGGGUCUGGCCGUGGGAAUUUAGUUAAACCUUACCAUUUAGAGGAAGGUGAAGUCGUAACA